rnacentral:rRNA from 1 species
AUGCAUUUGUUCAUUAAACAAUACGAGAAGCUUCAGUUUGAUAGGGACUCUGAGGAGAGUUUCCAGGAGAAAUAAACUGCUUUGAGUGGUGUUCUUUUGAAAGUAAAUCUCCCAAUUGAGAGGCACGCUAGCAAGAUUUACACAAGGGCAAUGUUUGAGCAAUUUGGCGGUGCUCUUUACAAGGCAGGGGCUUAUGAACUGGAUGUUGCUAUACCAAAGGUAUACAUUCUUACUCAUGUGGAUGCUCUCUCUCGUGAGAAAUGGAGCAAGGUCCAGUUCAAGGUUGAGGUUGAUGAUGAUCAAACCUUCUUCAACUGUGAGUGUGGUAUUUUCGACCAUUCUGGAAUGGUGUGCUGCCAUGCACUGAAGGUUAUCACCGAGCUCAAGUUGAGCAAGAUACCAGAAAAGCACAUAUUGAAGCGAUGGACUAGGGAUGCCCGUGAUAUCUUGCCUGAUCAUCUCGUUCGGUACCAGAAGGACAGAGGGCCACAUGGCUUUGACACUUACAUGCACAACACCAUGUACAUGAAGGCGCUGGAGUGUGUUCGACUUGGCGAUAGUAACGUGAAGUGCUAUGAUGUUUUCAUGGCAAUGAUGAAGGAGGUUCACACAACUCUUCUCCCACUAAGCUAUGCCAAAGAUGGUAUGGGGCUCGAGGAGCGAGAGGCUACGGAUCAGAUAGCCAAAGAAGGUAACCAUGGUAAGAUAAAUGUCGAGGCCAACAUCGAUAUAGAUGAGGGUGAUGCAGUGUCAAACUGUUCUGGUAUUGCCCCUGCGAAAGAAAUGCACCUGGCUGGCAGGCCAACCACAAGUAGAGAUAAGGCUCCAUAUGAAGAGAAACCGAAGAGGUCAAGGUUCUGUACGAUAUGCCGGCUUAAGGGGCACAAGAGCACAACAUGUCCAGAUAGGGGAGAUAUUCCAAAAGCUCCGAGGAAGAUUCCCAAGUGUGGCAAAUGUGGAGUGGUCGGACAUCGUCGAACUUCAUGCGGGAAGCUGGCAGAACCAUUUGUUCCUAAUUUCCUGUAG